AAUAUUGAGAAUCAUCUAAUGCUAUUACGUAAAAUAAAAUUAUAUUAAACAUACAAAAAAAUAUAUUUUCUUAAAUUUUUUGAUAUACCGUAAUCGAGUUAUUACAAUACAGAGAGUUUUACUAGAAUACUAUCAAUAGUAAACAACUUGGUUUACUAUCAAUUUGUUUUUCAUCAUAGAGCUAUUAAAUUAACGAUCAGUAUCGUUGAACAUGAUCUAGAAUAUUUAAAUUAUCUAGAAAUCAAAUUUCAUGCUAUUUUGAUAUUGUUCUCUAACCCAUCAAGUAGCAAUAAAAUAAAUAGCUGAAAAUAAAUAUUCUUCAAAAUGUCAUAAUAUAAUUUUUCUAUUCAAGAUCUAGAAUCUAGAUUUUGUUUUAAAUAGUUUAAAGAAUUUUCUAAUAAAAAUUUAGUUGAUUUGAACUCUUCUAUACCGUUAAACAAGCAAAUGCACCGUAUCGACCAUUAAAAAUUACAGAUUUUGUGACCCUCUGAUCAUUUAGUUACUGAUGUCAAGAACCCAUGAAAGUUAGUUUCUAAAUAAUUUAAAUAGUUUAGACCAUGUAUAACAAUAGGGAUAAUCUAUUUGGAAGAUCUACAAUCGAAAACAAAUUGAUAGUAAAUUGAGCUAUUUACUACCAAGACCAGUCAAGCUCCAACAUAUAUAACAUUUUAUUAUAUACAUAAAUAAAUUUAUUAUUUUGUAUCAUAUUUUUCUAUCGUGUGUAACAUAAUUAAUCUUCUUAUGAUC
rnacentral:lncRNA from 1 species